GUGAGGGAGACAUUACGGAACCGCCUAGAGCCCAGCCCCCGGGGCCGGCAGACCCCCAUGUCCGCUGCCAUGGCUUUCGGGCUCCUGGGCUUCGUGGCGCUCUGUCUCCUGGGAGCUGGCCCCAUGGAAGCUGGGGUGACCCAGACCCCGAGAUACUUCAUCACAGGGACCGGAAGGCAGUUGACACUGCAUUGUUCUCAGGAUAUGAACCACGACGCUAUGUACUGGUAUCGACAAGAUCCAGGGCUGGGUCUCCAGCUGAUCUACUAUUCACAGAACGUUGAGUUUGUUGAGGAUGGAGAUGUCCCUCAGGGGUACACUGCCUUGCGGAAAGAGAGGAAGAAUUUCCCCCUGACCCUGACGUCGGCAGGCACCAACCAGACCUCUCUGUACCUCUGUGCCAGCAGUAUACCCACAGCGCUGCUCAGCCAUCUUGCUCUCUGCACCAAAAGGGCACCACAAGAGCGAGGAGGCUCCUUCCUGGAGGGCCCACCCCAAGCAGCAGGAAAACUCCCUCCACCAUCAGUGCCCAUAGAAGUCCUUCCCUGACUCCCCAGCUCCGGGGACUCUGAGCAAGGCAGCUCCCCUGCAGUGUGCUACUCUCGCAAGACCUCUCGUGACCAAGGUGCUUGUCAAAGUUGAGGCAGGACAAGCUGACUGUGUUAGGUCUAGUGCCAGGGGUGAGAGAAGCUUUUUCCGGAAAAGGAGCUUUACGCACCCUGCAAUCAUUUCUCCUUACCAGGCUUCAUUGUUGCCCAAACGGAACACCCCACUUUCAAUCCAAUCACUCAACAAAAUUUUGUCCCAUAUGCCAUGUCCUGUUCCUGGAGGUUUGCACCCAGGGGAGGAGCACGCUCUGAGCUCUUUACAAAAUCCGACAUCCCUCAUUCUCCUCACCUCAGCAAAUAGGCCUGCCCUCUGGCGAAAUGCCCAAAGCCAGGAAUGGAGGGGUCGUCCCCAUCGUCUCUCAGCCACUACCCUUCCACACCUAAUCCAUCACCCCCCACUCUGCAUAUUUCGAGAUGUUACAUCCCUUGCAAAUUUUACUAAUGUUUCUAACGUCACUGACAAUGCCGUGGCCCAGCAAACACCUCUCACCCGGAUCCCUUCUCCACCUUCCAAGUAGUCACCCCCCUUUUCCCACUUUGCUGCCUGCCUCCAACCACAAACCACUCUUUCAGGCUCAAAAGCAUCAGUGUCUUUCCUGAACCUUGUUAAAGUCUCAAGUAUAAACUUGAGGCUUUAUAAGCCUCUCCAUGAUGGGGUCUUUGCGCACCUAUCUACCUUCUUAACGUGAAUGUCCCCAUUCCUUCAGUUCCCACAACUGCCAGACAUAUUCCACCUCUCACGGGUCCCCACGUAUGUCCCCUGCUGACUCACCGCCGAGUGUUCACCGGUAACUGUUCACUCGCCCUAGAGCACCCUUCCUCUCCCUACCUACCUGGUCGGUCACCUGACGGAUCAUUCCUCUGGAUACUAACUCAGAAGUCAUUUCCUCCAGAAAUAUUUCCUUGAAUCCCUGGCUGGGUUCGUUCUCCUGUCAUGUGAUCUUAUGACAGCCUGAACGCCUAUCCUUAUGGCCAUCAACACACUCAAUUGUUCACUGUUUAACAUUUAGGCUAAUAAAUAUUAAAGUUAAAGAGAAUAAGGAUCAUGCCUCUAUUGUUUACUUCUUUAUCUCCAUACUUACCAGGGUGCCUGCAAGCAGUAGUGUUAAAUGAAUGCAUGAAUAGGUCUUCUCUCAAACCCUGUUUCCAACACCCCUCUGACUAGUCCAGUAAAAGGGCCCCCUGCAAAGUCCUCUCCUACACAUAGUUUGGGGAGAUUCCAGGGUUUUCCAUAUGUGUAUAGAAGCAAGACAGAUCAUGUGCUCUAAUAGAGAUUUAUUCUUCUACUCCAGCCUCUUGCCUACUCUGUGCUCUAGGUCAGCCUAAUGAGGAUGUUGCCUCUCUGGGUAGCACUGUUUCCACAGGAUCCUUUUCUUUUUCUGAUGGGCCUUAAACUACCCACCAGCGACUGCUUACGCUUCUGCUCUGCACCAUGUCAUUCACCAAGCAAUAUAAUACUGCAGACCCUAUUGUUCCUGGCAGUGGGCUCCAACG